CAAAGGCAAGGCUAUUGAAUGUUCAUGCUUUAAUUAAAUUCCAAGCUAAACUCACAAAUAAACACAUGAAACUUAAACUCAGCUAAUUUCUUUCUCAAUACCAACAAUAACAUAAUCCAGGAAAUUAACAUAUUAUUCACUUGAAUCCAAACUCAUACUCGAACUUUCAAUAUAGAAUCAAAUCGACAAGAAAAUGUUGAUUCACUUUACAACAUUUCAAUAAUAUGAGAAAAAUUAAACAUACAUGAAUAGUAUUGGAUUUACUGCAGAAUACUAAAGAAAUGGAAGAAAAAAAGAAAUAAAAGCUCAAAUACAACUUGUAUUCAAUCAGGUUUCAACUCGAAAUACAUGUUGACUUUCACUUGUUGUGCAUAGUUUGAAGAAUUGCUGGAGUGCAGUGUAGAAAACAAGGAGUUACCAGUAGCAGCAAAAUAACAGCAAUGUAAUAGUGCUAAAUUAGUAAAUUAACCAAAUUUCCAACCAGCUCAACCAAUCUAAAACACCAGAUGCCUGAUUUGGAACCUUCAGAAACUCAAAUGAACCAAAAGGAAACGAAGAACCAGAAACCAAAGCCAAUUUUUUUUACCAAAUUUCAGUGUUUUAGAAUUUGAAAGAGACAGCCGUUUACUAAUUUUCCAGUGGUUUUGAAUUCUCCAAAAUCUCUGACUUGAGAGUGAUGAAAUGACUUUUUAUAGUGAAGUUUUAGGGCAGCAGAAAUGAUUUCAGACUUUGCUCAUUAAUCCUUUUUAAAUUUUUUGUUUUUGCUAAUUGGUCCUUAAUUUAAAAAUUAAUUUUCUAAAUAGGUCCCAAACCCACAUUCCUAAAUAAGUUAUUGAAGAUUCUCCUACUUAAAAUCCCUUAACUAACUCUUAAACCCUUGUUAAUUACCCUAACCUACCUCAUGGGUCAAGUUGACCCAAUAACCCCCCCAAAAAGAAGUCAUGGGCUUGCAAAGACCUGGACUAAUCUCUCUUUUGAGGCCUCUAUCUGACAGAGCCCAAAUUAAAAUUAAAAUCAAAGUUCACGAAAUUAACGGUCUAAACAGAGUUGCCCAAAACCAGAACACUUUGAAAAAUGAUAAAAAAAUAAAAGGAGAAGAAAUCUAAUUAAAACUAAACAUAAGAACCCAAACAAACACAACUAAAACUUGCUUUUAAUCUAAUCAUGCAACAAACACUGAUUACAAAAAUAAAAAAAAUAAUAAGGGAAAAGAACAGAGGAGAUAGAAGGAUAUGGAAAUGAGAAAAAGAAUAAAAGAAUGAAAAAAUAAAUGGACGAGGGCACCUAAUAAAAGACGUGAAAUAAUAUGGCUCGGAGGGCCUCAUAUUUCUUGAUUUUGAGCCAAAAGUCAUAUUCAUCGUUGGUUCUCACUAAGAACUGACGAGAAAUAACAAUUACAGCCAUAACCAGUCAUUGAAACUUGAAAGAUUUGGGCGAUUUUUGUUUUUCGCUUUUAUGCCUUUUUCAGAUCUAAUAUUGGAUUAGUUUGGUGUUGAUUUGAAGGAAUAUGGUGAUGGCUUGGGGGUCAAGGAUGAGUAGGGGUUGUGUGGUGUUUAUUUGGGGUUUAUUGGAGGUGGCACUGCCGACUGGAUAUGGUGAUGAAUUCAUGGCGGUGCUAGUGUUCCUGGAGAUGAGGCUGAUAAAGUGAAGAAAGGUGUUAACUGACGUCUUCUUUGAGGGGUCUGGACACUUCUAUGUAUUUGUGAUUGACCUCCAAUGACCAUUGGAUGAAGGGAUAUAAAGGGCUUAAAUUGUUGUAGCUCAAUGAACUCCAAAUGACAUCGUUUGGUUAAGCUGUGAAGGCUGGACCGGGUGAAGACACGGGUUUGGGCCGGUUGGAGCGGGUGAUGGGGGAAUUUAAUUGGGCUGGGGAGAUUUAUAUGAAACCAGCCGAAACCUCAAUCUUCUCUUAUUUUCUUUUCCUUUUCUUUUAUUUUCCAAAUUUCUU
rnacentral:lncRNA from 1 species